GAUGAACGCUGGCGGCGUGCCUAAUACAUGCAAGUCGAGCGAACAGGCGAGGAGCUUGCUCCUCUGACGUUAGCGGCGGACGGGCGAGUAACACGUGGAUAACCUACCUAUAAGACUGGGAUAACUUCGGGAAACCGGAGCUAAUACCGGAUAAUAUAUUGAACCGCAUGGUCCAAUAGUGAAAGACGGUUUUGCUGUCACUUAUAGAUGGAUCCGCGCCGCAUUAGCUAGUUGGUAAGGUAACGGCUUACCAAGGCAACGAUGAGUAGCCGACCUGAGAGGGUGAUCGGCCACACUGGAACUGAGGCACGGUCCAGACUCCUGCGGGAGGCAGCAGUAGGGAAUCUUCCGCGAUGGGCGAAAGCCGGACGGAGCAACGCCGCGUGAGUGAUGAAGGUCUUCGGAUCGUAAAACUCUGAUAUUAGUGAAGAACAAAUGUGUAAGUAACUAGGCACGUCUUGACGGUACCUGAACAGAAAGCCGCGGCUAACUACGUG
rnacentral:rRNA from 1 species